rnacentral:rRNA from 1 species
GCCCCUAAUUCAUGGCUAAGUGGGAAAGCAGGUGGGACGACCAAAACAACCAGGAAGUUGGCUUAGAAGCAGCCAUCUUUUAAAGAUAGCGUAACAGCUCACUGGUCUAAUCAAGUUGUCCUGCGGCGAAGAUGUAACGGGGCUCAAGCCAUGAGCCGAAACUUCGGAUGCAUUUAAUGCAUGGUAGCGGAGCGUAGUGUGACAUAGUUUCCUGUCUCUUUUGAUCCCUUUGGGGUCAUGGGAGACGCGAAGCUUUCUGUGAAGCCGGGCUGUAAGGCAUCCGGUGGAGAGAUCACUAGUGAGAAUGAUGACAUGAGUAGCGACAAAGAGUGUGAGAGACACUCUCGCCGAAAGUCCAAGGGUUCCUGCUUAAAGCUAAUCUGAGCAGGGUAAGCCGACCCCUAAGUCGAGGCCGAAAGGCGUAGACGAUGGGAACCAGGUUAAUAUUCCUGGGCCAGGAGGAAUGUGACGGAUCUCGAAGGUAGUUCAUCCUUAUUGGAUUGAAUGGGCUGCUAAGAGGUUCCUGGAAAUAGCACCUCCAUGAGAUCGUACCCUAAACCGACACAGGUGGACUGGUAGAGAAUACCAAGGCGCUUGAGAGAACUACAUUGAAGGAACUCGGCAAAAUACCUCCGUAAGUUCGCGAGAAGGAGGCCCAGUUUCUACGCAAGUAUUGGCUGGGGGCACAAACCAGGGGGUGGCGACUGUUUACUAAAAACACAGGGCUCUGCGAAGUCGCAAGACGACGUAUAGGGUCUGACGCCUGCCCGGUGCCUGAAGGUUAAAAGGAGGGGUGAGAGCUCCGAAUUGAAGCCCAGGUAAACGGCGGCCGUAACUAUAACGGUCCUAAGGUAGCGAAAUUCCUUGUCGGGUAAGUUCCGACCUGCACGAAUGGCGUAACGACUUCCCCGCUGUCUCCAACAUCGACUCAGCGAAAUUGAAUUGCCUGUCAAGAUGCAGGCUUCCCGCGGUUAGACGGAAAGACCCCGUGCACCUUUACUACAGCUUCACAUUGGCAUUAGGCCGAGCAUGUGCAGGAUAGGUGGUGGGCUUUGAAGCGUGAACGCCAGUUUGCGUGGAGCCUCCCUUGAGAUACCACCCUUGUUCUGCUUGAUGUCUAACCGCGGUCCAUUAUCUGGAUCCGGGACCCUGUGUGGCGGGUAGUUUGACUGGGGCGGUCGCCUCCUAAAGCGUAACGGAGGCGCGCGAAGGUUGGCUCAGAGCGGUCGGAAAUCGCUCGUUGAGUGCAAUGGCAGAAGCCAGCCUGACUGCGAGACUGACAAGUCGAGCAGAGUCGAAAGACGGCCAUAGUGAUCCGGUGGUCCCGAGUGGAAGGGCCAUCGCUCAACGGAUAAAAGGUACGCCGGGGAUAACAGGCUGAUACUGCCCAAGAGUCCAUAUCGACGGCAGUGUUUGGCACCUCGAUGUCGGCUCAUCUCAUCCUGGGGCUGGAGCAGGUCCCAAGGGUACGGCUGUUCGCCGUUUAAAGAGGUACGUGAGCUGGGUUUAGAACGUCGUGAGACAGUUCGGUCCCUAUCUGCCGUGGGUGUAGGAUACUUGAGAGGAGUUGCCCCUAGUACGAGAGGACCGGGGUGAACGAUCCACUGGUGGACCAGUUGUCGUGCCAACGGCAGUGCUGGGUAGCUAUGAUCGGACAGGAUAACCGCUGAAGGCAUCUAAGCGGGAAGCCCCCCUCAAAACAAGGUAUCCCUGAGGACCGAGGUAGACCACCUCGUCGAUAGGCCAGAGGUGUAAGCGUGGUAACACGUUCAGCUGACUGGUACUAAUGGUCCGAUAGGCUUGAUUUG